AUUGAACGCUGGCGGCAUGCCUUACACAUGCAAGUCGAACGGCAGCACGGGAGCAAUCCUGGUGGCGAGUGGCGAACGGGUGAGUAAUAUAUCGGAACGUGCCCGGUCGUGGGGAUAACGUAGCGAAAGCUACGCUAAUACCGCAUACGAUCUACGGAUGAAAGCGGGGGGAUCGCAAGACCUCGCGCGAUUGGAGCGGCCGAUAUCAGAUUAGGUAGUUGGUGAGGUAAAGGCUCACCAAGCCGACGAUCUGUAGCUGGUCUGAGAGGACGACCAGCCACACUGGGACUGAGACACGGCCCAGACUCCUACGGGAGGCAGCAGUGGGGAAUUUUGGACAAUGGGCGCAAGCCUGAUCCAGCAAUGCCGCGUGCAGGAUGAAGGCCUUCGGGUUGUAAC
rnacentral:rRNA from 1 species